GAUGAACGCUGACAGAAUGCUUAACACAUGCAAGUCAACUUGAAUUUGGGUUUUUAACUUAGGUUUGGGUGGCGGACGGGUGAGUAACGCGUAAAGAACUUGCCUCACAGCUAGGGACAACAUUUGGAAACGAAUGCUAAUACCUAAUAUUAUGAUAAUAGGGCAUCCUAUAAUUAUGAAAGCUAUAAGCGCUGUGAGAGAGCUUUGCGUCCCCUUAGCUAGUUGGAGAGGUAACGGCUCACCAAGGCGAUGAUGGGUAGCCGGCCUGAGAGGGUGAUCGGCCACAAGGGGACUGAGACACGGCCCUUACUCCUACGGGAGGCAGGAGUGGGGAAUAUUGGACAAUGGACCGAGAGUCUGAUCCAGCAGUUCUGUGUGCACGAUGAAGUUUUUCGGAAUGUAAAGUGCUUUCAGUUGGGAAGAAGCAAAUGACGGUACCAACAGAAGAAGUGGCGGCUAAAUACGUG
rnacentral:rRNA from 1 species